UACGUAGGGGGCAAGCGUUGUCCGGAAUCAUUGGGCGUAAAGAGCGUGUAGGCGGCUUGGUAAGUCCGCUGUGAAAGUCCAGGGCUCAACCCUGGAAAGCCGGUGGAAACUGUCAAGCUUGAGUCCGGAAGAGGCGAGUGGAAUUCCUGGUGUAGCGGUGAAAUGCGUAGAUAUCGGAAGGAACACCUGUGGCGAAAGCGGCUCACUGGACCAUUACUGACGCUGAGGCACGAAAGCUAGGGGAGCAAACAGG
rnacentral:rRNA from 1 species